GACGAACGCUGGCGGCGUGCUUAACACAUGCCAGUCGAACGAUGAAGAAGAGAAACGCGAACUUCGGUUCAAAUUUCACUUCGGAUUAGUGGCAGACGGGUGAGUAACGCGUGAGCAACCUACCUCUUACAAAGGGAUAGCCUCGGGAAACCGUGAUUAAUACCAUAUGACACAUUCAUAAGGCAUCUUAAGAAUGUUAAAGCUACGGCGGUAAGAGAUGGGCUCGCGUCCCAUUAGCUAGUUGGUGAGGUAACGGCCCACCAAGGCGACGAUGGGUAACCGGCCUGAGAGGGUGAACGGUCACAUUGGAACUGAGACACGGUCCAAACUCCUACGGGAGGCAGCAGUGGGGAAUAUUGCACAAUGGAGGGAACUCUGAUGCAGCGACGCCGCGUGAGCGAUGAAGCAAUUCGUUUCGUAAAGCUCUGUUCUAUGGGAAGAAAAGGACUGUACCAUAGGAGAAAGCCCCGGCUAAAUACGUG
rnacentral:rRNA from 1 species